GGGGCUGGGGGUCUGCAGCCCAGGGAGGAGACAGCUGGACAUGGGGUGGAGGAAAGAGGGGGUGGGACAGACGGGGCCAGGGCGCUUCACCGGCUCCCGGGAGGCCAGACCAGGUUUCCUCUGUGCGGCCAGAGGCUAUUCUGGGGUUUCUCCGAAAAACCUGACCUCCCUUCCACUCAGAACAGCAAAGCUGGCUCUCAGGGGAGCCUCGUGGCCAGGCUGUUCGGUGACAAGAUGUCUCAGCGGCACACACACCUGCGUACGUGUGCUGAGCCCUCACACACACCCCGACACGUCCGGCGAGCGCCUCCCUGCUCCCCCCACCCACCGGCAGUGGGCACAGGGCUGGCAGGUGCUGGUCGGAGCCCCGUGGGCUGAGGGGCGCCUCCCGUCCCUGCCUCCGGCCCCCCUGCACCGGGGAGGGUCGCAGAUGGGCUCCCACCUAAUUGCCCCCGCCCCCCUGCACGGCCCCCGGAGUCACGUGGGCACACGCCUGCCUGACGGAUCCGAGCAGGUGGGGUGCGCCCGGCCCCGCCCGCUCGGCUCUGGGCCUGACUGGGUAUCCGAAGCCUCCGGGACUUACCCCGCUGAGGCCCAGGCCAGCUGCUGAGGCCGCAAGAUUUGUGCUGACGGACGGGAUGGCUCCGGCGGGCACAAGACCAGCGGGCCUCGGGGACAGGGGCGCAGCAAAAGCUGGCCCCAGGUCUGGGGGCGUGGCCCGCCUCUGCCCUGGCUGCUUGCUCCGCCCGCUGGCUCCAGGCUUGGUGAUGAGGAGGAAAGACUUUCCCACCCCUUCCCUCGAAGAUGUCAAACUACCACAGGAGUCCGAAGUACGACAGCUCUUCCGUGACACUCGUCACAUCUAUGAGCCCAAACGACACGUGAGGAAGUCAGUGGGGACCGAGAGCAAGACCGGGUCGGGCGCCAGGAGCAGGACGGCCUGACGGCUGAUUUCACGGCUCUCGCCAGGGCCGCGGUGCCCAGAGUUGUCCAGACACUGGUGAGGUGUUGCCGUGAAGGGUUUUUUCAUAUAUAUUGAUUACAGUGGUGAAGCUAAUGUAAAGUAGCACUCGGAAAGGGGAACUGACAUUCAUUAAACAUCUAUCACAGACCACGAUCUUUUUUUUUUUUUUAAUUUGUGGCAACCACACACCUACACACAAGCACGCACAUAAAAAUUUCCAUCCUAACCGUUUGUGAGUGCACAGCUCAGGGGCAUUGAAAAUUGAGCACAUUCACACUGCUGUGCAACCAUCCCCACUGUCCAUCUCCAGAACUUUCCAUCUUCCCAAACUGAAACUCCCCAUUAAACACUAACCCCCCAGCCCCUGGCGCCCACCAUCGACCGAUCUCCAUGGAUCUGACUCCUGCAGGCCCUUCAUAUAAGUGGACUCAUUCAGGAUUUGUCCUUUCGGACGGGCUUGCUUCACAAAGCAUGAUGUCUUCAGGGUCCAUCCAUGCUGAAGCAGGUGCCAGCAUUUCCUCCUUUUUAAGGUGGAAUAACAUUCCACUGGACAGAAAGAACACGAAGCUUUCCUAGGUGUGAUUAACAUUUAAAUCAGCAGAUGACCCUCGUCAUGUGGGUGGGCCUCAUCCGAUCAGUUGAAGGCCUUAAGAGAAAAGACUGAGCUCCCCAGAGGAGGAGGGAAUUCUUCUCCGGAGGGCCUCUGGGUUCGAGCUGCAACAUCAGCUCCUUCCUGGGUCUCCAGCUGCACUCGCCAACCCCACAGUCGCCACAACUGGAGCCCAUUCCUCAAAAUAAAUCACCCCUGUCCCUCACUUUCUCCCUGCCACCCACCCCUAGUGGUCUGUUUUUCUGGAGAUCCCCGGCUGAUACAGAAGGCCAUCGAGGGCAGUGCGUUCCAAGAACCUGGGCACCUGUGCACGUGCCCCCGGGGCCAUCCUCCGACUGCAGGGCACACGGUGUUUCCUCCAGGCAGGUCCGGAAGGGAGGCUCAGGCACCUGCAGGGAGCAGCUGAACUCACAGACUGAAAACCCAGGCCAGGUCGUGGUGAAAGACUGCAUGUGCUUCCCCAGUGACCCCUUCCUCGAAGAGAGAGGCCCGUAGACUUCUCCGGGGUCCCCGGGGUCCUCCGGGGUCCCCGGUGGGAAGACGCCACGAGGCCCCCCACCCCUCCGAGGCAGCCUCAGGGGCGGACCAGCUGUGCCGCCGCGGGGCCCAGGUGGAGCCUCGGAAGGGGUUACCGCUCCCGAGUCCACAUGGCUGGCCUGAGGCUUCCUGCUGCACAGCCGACUUCCCUCACCCGAUCCUGCCCCCUCCCUGCCUCUGGGACUGACCCCUGUGCGUAGCGUGAACGCAAACCCCAUCCCGGGGUCGGCUUCCUGAGGGCCCACUCCGCAACUAGAAGGGGUAUUGGAAAUGGAUUCCUCGCCGCCCGGCUGCAACGAGGUGCCGCUGGGGUCGGGCACACACACGCCUCCCUAGUGGCCCACCCGCCCCAGCUGUCACUGUGGCGAUCGGGCAGGAUGGGCCAGAGACCAGGUGGCCGCUGCCCAGCCCCUGACCGUUGUCAGAACCUCGACAGGGAAAGCUGGGACCUCGCCGUGUGGGUGGAGGACAUCCAGGUGGGUGUCCUUCGGGACAUUCUGCCUCUGCAGGGUUUGCUCACCUCUCCCUGGGAAGAGCUGCACCCCCGCCCCCCGCCGAAAUAGAAUGCGGAGGCCUCAUCAUCCCCGCCCCCCCUUGCCAAUCCCCGGCAACAUUUGUCCCCUUCAGGACAUCCACCUCCGCUCCUGGCCACUGGGCUGACACCCAGGGUUAAAUUGCAGCAUAACCGGGCUGGGGAUGAGCUGGAUCUGACAGCUCAAGGACAGCGGAGGAUGAAGAGACCGAUGGGCUGUGUUGGCAGGAGCCGGGGACACGGGCAGCCCCCGCGGCCCCGCUGAGGGGCCGGAGCACGAGCCAGGCAGGUGUGAGACCCUACACGUACCAAGGGUUCUCAAAGCCCCCUUUCUUCUUGCGGCUCCUGCCUGAGGCUUCCUGAGCCAGCACAGGGCAGGCCACAGUCUGGAACCCACACGCUGCACGGUGCCUGCAGCCAGCCCCCUCGCCCACCGGCAACGGCGUGCACCCGUGACACGUCUCCCCUGGGUCCCAGUGUGCUGAGUACGGUUGCCCAGGAGUGCCCCCUCCCCACCCCCUCUUACCUCAUACGCCCAAGAAAAAUUCCGUGCCCUAGUCUUGAGUCUUUGUUUCAGGGUCCACAAGGGGAGCCUGGACCAGGGGAGUAAAAACAAGCCAGCCCCGGACCAUCAACCGUGGCAGGUGGUCAGGAAUGCAAGUGUAAGAUCCCAGGCCUGUUCAGGAAUGGCCAGCGCCGGCGACUGAGGACAGAAGACAGAAGCCUGAGAAAAGCAGCAUAACUUGAAAGCAGAAAGUAAUGUCAUACAAGUAAACCGAGCCACCUGACAGAGCUCCCGGGGGCCAGUGCUGGAACAAUGAGAGCAAGAAAUGAAUCAAGCAGGAUCGGAUUAUAACCGCAUAUAUCCAUUGUGCACGGAAGCAUGACACCAACAGACCGGAAGAAAAUACCCACAAACCCCAUCUCUGAUGAGGGAUUCGUGUCCAGAAUACGUAAGGGAUUCCUACAACUCGGGGCGCCUGGCUGGCUCAGUCGGCAGAGCAUGUGACCCUUCCUCUCAGGGUCACGAGUUCAAGCCCCACAUCGGGUAUGGAGUCUACUUUAAGAAAAUACGUUAAAAAAAAAAAAAAAGCAUUCCUACACCUCAACAACAACAGAAAUAAACAACCCAAUUAAAAAUGGGCAAAGGACUUGCAUAGACAUUUUUCCAACAGGAGAUCCACACGUGGCAAAGAAGCACACGGAAAGCUCACUGUCACUAAUCAUUAGGAAAAUGCAACUCAAAACCACAGUGACUUAUCCCUUCCCACCCAAUAGGAUGGCUAUUCUCAAAAAACAGAGAGCGACAAGGGUUAGGGAAGAGGCGGAGAGAUCGGGACCCUGUGCGCAGACAGACGGUGGGAAUGUGAAAUGGCUGCGUGGAAAAGUCUGGCGAGUCCUCAGAAAAGUAGACGUAGGAUGACCACGCGAUCCACAUAUGUACACAAGAGAACUUCGAGCAGGGGGAUCCACGUCCGCCUGGUUCAUAGCAGCAUUAUUCACGAUACAUAAAAGGUGGACACAACCCAAAGCACCCCAAGGGAGGGAUGGAUGGAUGGAGAAACGAAACAUAGUGUAUACAUAUGUGAUAAUAAAAAUUAUGCGUCAGCUCCACUGGGCUAAGGGCCCCCAGACAGCGGUGAAGCAGUAUUUCUGGACGCGUCUGUGAGGGCGUCUCUGGAAGAGAUAAGCGUUUGGUUCUGUAAGCUGACUGUCCUCACCAAGCCAGGUGGGCCUUGUCCAGUCUGGUGAGGGCCCAAACAGAACGAAAAAGACAGAGGAAGGGUGAGUUUGCUCUCUGCCUGCCUGGAACGUCCUGCCUCUCUGGCCUUCGGACUCAGACUGAAUCACCACGGGCUCUCCCGGGUCCGCAGCCCGCAGAGGGCAGAGGGUGGGACACCGUGGCCUGCACAGCUGCGUGGAUCAGUUCCUGCGAUCAGUGUCCUCAGCUCAGUGUGCGUGUGUGCGUGCACGUGCAUGUGUGUGCGUGCACGUGUGUGCAUGUGUGCGUGUGUGCAUGUGAGUGCGUGUGUGCGUGCGUGCGUGUGUGUCCUGUUUCUCUGGAGAACCCGCGUAGAAUGUACAAUGGAAUUAUUCAGCCAUAAAAAGGAAGAAAAUGCUGGCAGCUGCUACAACGUGGAUGCACCUGGAAGACACUAUACUCAAUGAAACAAGCCAGUCACAAAGGACAAAUACUAAGAGAACAUCCAGAUGGCCAACAGACAAAUGAAAAGAUGCCCAACGUCAUUAGUCAUCAGGGAAAUGCAAAUCAAAACCACAAUGAGAUGUCACCUCACACCUGUCAGAACGGUAGAAUCAAAAACACAGAUGGGGCACCUGGGUGGCUCAGUGGGUCGAGCCUCUGACUUCAGCUCAGGUCGUGAUCUCACGUUCAUGAGUUCGUGCCCCGUGUCGGGCUCUGUGCUGUCAGUUCGGAGUCUGGAGCUGCUUCGGAUUCUGUGUCUUGCCCUCUCUCUGUCCCUCCCCCACUCACGUUCUGUCUCUCUCUGUCUCUCAAAAAAUGAAUAAACGUUAAAAAUUUUUUUUUAAUAUUUUACCACUACAAUAAACAUAAAUAUUGAUGAGUCCAUAUUGGUAUAAGUGAUUCAUAAAUAAAUGGGGGAGAAGAGCCACCUCUCCCAUACAGAAUUCCAAAUAAUUCAUGUAGUUAUUCUAGCCUCACAGAGUGGGGGACACAACCCAGGCCCCAACAGUGACUUCCCUCCACAGAGUAUGGAAACGGAGAACCAGGUGCUGCCCCCCUCAGGUGAUCAAGGUCAACAUGGCAGCGAUGAGUCACCCCCAAUAUGAUGUGGCGAGAGGGCACUGCACCCCCGCUGUGGUCCUCCUGAAACCCACACCCCCAGUCUAAUCAUGAGACAGCACCGGACAAAUCUCAGGAGGGGCACAUUCUACAAAGUGUCCUGACCAGCGCUCUUGAAAACUGUCAAGGACAUUAAAAUAAAGAGAAAGUCUGAGAAACUGUCACAGCCCAGAGGAGCCCAAGGAGAUGUGAUGACUUCAUGCGGGAUGGGAUCCUGGGACAUAAGGAGGACGUUUGUUAAAAACCAAGGAAAACUGAAUAAAGCAAGGACUUUAGUUAAGAAUAGUAUGUAAAUACUGGUUGAUGGUGACAAAGUCAAAUGUACCAUGCUAGUAAGAUAGUCCUAUCAUAGGUGUGAAGUGUGAAGUGCAUGGGAACUCUGUACUCUCAGCAAUUUUUCUGUAAAUCUAAAACUGUUCUAAAAAUAAAGUUUAUUUUUUUAAUGUU